AUGGCAACAAGCUGGGAGGAGUGGCUGAUAAGCCAGAGGGACCUGGACAAGCUGGAGAACUGGGCUGAUAGGAACUUCAUAAAGCUCAACACGGAGAAGUGCAGAGUCCUGCACCUGGGAAGGAACAUCCCUAGGCACCAGGACGUGCUGGUGGCCACACAGCUGAAAGGCAGCCUUGCGGAAAUGGACCUGGGAGACACCAAACGGAACACAAGUCAGCAAUGUGCCCUUUGCUGCCAACAGGACUGCAUCAGGCAAAGGACUGCCAGCAGGUCAAGGGAGGCGAUCCUUCCCCUCUGCUCAGUACAGACCUCCUUAAUUGUGCUCCCUGUGAUUAAACAACGCUUUGAAGACAUCUCUAGAAGUUGUUUCUUCCACGCAGGAAUGUCGCCUGCCGGGUUCGUAGCCUUUGGCUCUGGGUGUAAGGAGCUCGUUUGGCAAGGCAGCCGGGGACAGCACCGCCUGGGUGCUCCCAUGUCCCCAACCUCCUCGGGGCACAGCCUCCACCAGAAGGUCAGGGCCACCAGAAGGCCAGGAGGGGACCGUAGGCCGGGCAGGGAUGUGAGGAUGAUGGAUUUCCAGGGAUGUGCUGCUCAUCCCUGCACCAGAGGUAGGCGUUUUGGGCAGGAUGGGCGCUGGCACAGGGUGAGCUGUCCCAGCCUGCGCCCUCCCGACGGGGUGGAGGAGGAAAGUCCCCGUGGAUGGAGGCAAGCGAUCGCCUGAAUAUUCAUGUAUCGGCAGGCAAGCUACAGCAGGCCCUCGUUACAAACUGCUACCCAAACUGCUUACAUCCAUAAACGAGGGAAAUAAAUAAACAGAUGCUUGUUAAUUGACUUAAUUACCAACCAGCAAACAGGAGACCGGGAGCACAUCAAUAAAAGUGUUUUAAAAAGCAACCCGUAGUAAUUCUUUUCCAUAUGCAAACCACGCCGGUCUCUUCUGUCUACAAUAGACUCCCCAAAGACGAGAAAUGGAUUUUCAUUAUGUGGGAAGGAGAGAUCAAAGUCUGAAAAUUAGGGUUGUAGCCCAAAAU
rnacentral:lncRNA from 1 species